rnacentral:hammerhead_ribozyme from 1 species
AUCCAGCUGACGAGUGCCAAAUGUGACUAAACGCGCGUCCUGGAU